GAAGAUAAUGGAAGAAACUUCUUUCCAAUCAUCCAGCUUAACAGAAGUGGUAGGAAAUGACUUUUAUUUUAAACAACCAUAAAGAAAGUUAUUUCACAUAUAAAGAAAAUGCUAAGAGAAUUAAGAUGUCAUUAAAUGAAGAAAAGAAAGAUGAGGAAACUACUACAAAACAUAUACUCAACAAAUACUUGGAAAAUGAACAAAGAAGUGAGUUAUUAAAAUGUUGGGAAAUGUCAGGUUAUGAUGUCGCAGUUCAUGAGUUCAAGCCCCACGUCGGACUCUGUGCUGAUGACUCAGAGCCUUGAGCCUGCUUUGGAUUCUGGGUCUCCCUCUCUCUGCCCUCUCUCUGCCCUUCCCAUGACGCUUUCUCUCCCUCAAAAUAAAAUAAACGUUAAAUUUUUU